rnacentral:rRNA from 1 species
GUGUCAGCCGCCGCGGUAAUACCGGCAGCUCAAGUGAUGACCGAUUUUAUUGGGCCUAAAGCGUCCGUAGCUGGCCGCACAAGUCUGUCGGGAAAUCCACCCGCUUAACGGGUGGGCGUCCGGCGGAAACUGUGCGGCUUGGGACAGGAAGGCUCGAGGGGUACGUUCGGGGUAGGAGUGAAAUCCCGUAAUCCUGAACGGACCACCGAUGGCGAAAGCACCUCGAGAGGACUGAUCCGACAGUGAGGGACGAAAGCUGGGGUCUCGAACCGGAUUAGAUACCCCUGUAGUCC